rnacentral:rRNA from 1 species
GACGAACGCUGGCGGCGCGCUUAACACAUGCAAGUCGAACGGAAAGGCCCUGCUUUUGUGGGGUGCUCGAGUGGCGAACGGGUGAGUAACACGUGAGUAACCUGCCCUUGACUUUGGGAUAACUUCAGGAAACUGGGGCUAAUACCGGAUAGGAGCUCCUGCUGCAUGGUGGGGGUUGGAAAGUUUCGGCGGUUGGGGAUGGACUCGCGGCUUAUCAACUUGUUGGUGGGGUAGUGGCUUACCAAGGCUUUGACGGGUAGCCGGCCUGAGAGGGUGACCGGCCACAUUGGGACUGAGAUACGGCCCAGACCCCUACGGGAGGCAGCAGUGGGGAAUAUUGCACAAUGGGCGGAAGCCUGAUGCAGCAACGCCGCGUGCGGGAUGACGGCCUUCGGGUUGUAAACCGCUUUCGCCUGUGACGAAGCGUGAGUGACGGUAAUGGGUAAAGAAGCACCGGCUAACUACGUGCCAGCAGCCGCGGUGAUACGUAGGGUGCGAGCGUUGUCCGGAUUUAUUGGGCGUAAAGGGCUCGUAGGUGGUUGAUCGCGUCGGAAGUGUAAUCUUGGGGCUUAACCCUGAGCGUGCUUUCGAUACGGGUUGACUUGAGGAAGGUAGGGGAGAAUGGAAUUCCUGGUGGAGCGGUGGAAUGCGCAGAUAUCAGGAGGAACACCAGUGGCGAAGGCGGUUCUCUGGGCCUUUCCUGACGCUGAGGAGCGAAAGCGUGGGGAGCGAACAGGCUUAGAUACCCUGGUAGUCCACGCUGUAAACGGUGGGUACUAGGUGUGGGGUCCAUUCCACGGGUUCCGUGCCGUAGCUAACGCUUUAAGUACCCCGCCUGGGGAGUACGGCCGCAAGGCUAAAACUCAAAGGAAUUGACGGGGCCCCGCACAAGCGGCGGAGCAUGCGGAUUAAUUCGAUGCAACGCGUAGAACCUUACCUGGGUUUGACAUGGAUCGGGAGUGCUCAGAGAUGGGUGUGCCUCUUUUGGGGUCGGUUCACAGGUGGUGCAUGCCUGUCGUCAGCUCGUGUCAUGAGAUGUUGGGUUAAGUCCCGCAACGAGCGCAACCCUUGUUCACUGUUGCCAGCACGUUAUGGUGGGGACUCAGUGGAGACCGCCGGGGUCAACUCGGAGGAAGGUGGGGAUGACGUCAAGUCAUCAUGCCCCUUAUGUCCAGGGCUUCACGCAUGCUACAAUGGCUGGUACAGAGAGUGGCGAGCCUGUGAGGGUGAGCGAAUCUCGGAAAGCCGGUCUCAGUUCGGAUUGGGGUCUGCAACUCGACCUCAUGAAGUCGGAGUCGCUAGUAAUCGCAGAUCAGCAACGCUGCGGUGAAUACGUUCCCGGGGCU